ACUCCUGCGGGAGGCAGCAGUGGGGAAUUUUGGACAAUGGGCGAAAGCCUGAUCCAGCAAUGCCGCGUGUGUGAAGAAGGCCUUCGGGUUGUAAAGCACUUUUGUCCGGAAAGAAAUCCUUGGCUCUAAUACAGUCGGGGGAUGACGGUACCGGAAGAAUAAGCACCGGCUAACUACGUGCCAGCAGCCGCGGUAAUACGUAGGGUGCGAGCGUUAAUCGGAAUUACUGGGCGUAAAGCGUGCGCAGGCGGUUUGCUAAGACCGAUGUGAAAUCCCCGGGCUCAACCUGGGAACUGCAUUGGUGACUGGCAGGCUAGAGUAUGGCAGAGGGGGGUAGAAUUCCACGUGUAGCAGUGAAAUGCGUAGAGAUGUGGAGGAAUACCGAUGGCGAAGGCAGCCCCCUGGGCCAAUACUGACGCUCAUGCACGAAAGCGUGGGGAGCAAACAGGAUUAGAUACCCCUGUAGUCCCAUG
rnacentral:rRNA from 1 species